rnacentral:siRNA from 1 species
UUAUUAUUUGUUGUUUUAUGUUAA